rnacentral:rRNA from 1 species
GCGGACCGACGGGAGCUUGCUCCCUUAGGUCAGCGGCGGACGGGUGAGUAACACGUGGGUAACCUGCCUGUAAGACUGGGAUAACUCCGGGAAACCGGGGCUAAUACCGGAUGCUUGAUUGAACGCAUGGUUCAAUCAUAAAAGGUGGCUUUUAGCUACCACUUACAGAUGGACCCGCGGCGCAUUAGCUAGUUGGUGAGGUAACGGCUCACCAAGCGACGAUGCGUAGCCGACCUGAGAGGGUGAUCGGCCACACUGGGACUGAAACACGGCCCAGACUCCUACUUUAGGCAGCAGUAGGGAAUCUUCCGCAAUGGACGAAAGUCUGACGGAGCAACGCCGCGUGAGUGAUGAAGGUUUUCGGAUCGUAAAACUCUGUUGUUAGGGAAGAACAAGUACCGUUCGAAUAGGGCGGUACCUUGACGGUACCUAACCAGAAAGCCACGGCUAACUACGUGCCAGCAGCCGCGGUAAUACGUAGGUGGCAAGCGUUGUCCGGAAUUAUUGGGCGUAAAGCACGCGCAGGCGGUUUCUAAGUCUGAUGUGAAAGCCCCCGGCUCAACCAAGGAGGGUCAUUGGAAACUGGGGAACUUGAGUGCAGAAGAGGAGAGUGGAAUUCCACGUGUAGCGGUGAAAUGCGUAGAGAUGUGGAGGAACACCAGUGGCGAAGGCGACUCUCUGGUCUG